rnacentral:misc_RNA from 1 species
ACUUAUGUUUAAAUAGUUUACAGACAACACCCUCCAAAAAUGUCGUCCAAGAAAAAAUUCUGCGAGACACAGAAGUGUCUGUUUGUGAUUUUGGUGGCGGUUGCGGCGGCGAUUGCGGCAAUUUGUGUAGUGACUUUGACGGACGAGAACUUACGUGAGAAGAGGUCACUUGAAUCGCUGCCCUGGUGGAAGACGAGUAUAGUGUACCAGAUUUACCCUCGCUCCUUCCAGGACUCGGACAACGAUGGGACCGGUGACCUCAGAGGAAUCAAGGAGCGUUUGGGAUACCUGUCAGAUCUUGGGGUGGGUGCAGUGUGGCUCAGUCCAAUCUUUCUGUCCCCCAUGCGAGACUUUGGAUACGAUGUCCGGAACUACACAGAUGUGGACCCACUUUUCGGAAACAUGGCUGACUUUGAAAAUCUGAUAUCGGAAGCAAAGGAUAAAAAUUUGCGAGUGAUUUUGGAUUUUGUUCCCAACCACACGAGUAACGAGAGUGAAUGGUUUUACUGGAGUGAACGAGGGCACAAGAAGUACAAAGAUUACUACGUCUGGAGCAGUGGGAUAGAGUGUGCAGCCGGGUGUGACGACACGGGCGGGAGACGGCCCCCAAACAACUGGCUGAGUGUAUUCGGGGGCUCUGCUUGGAAAUGGAGCGGCAUCCGUCAGAAGUUUUAUUACCACGCCUUCUUGGACUCCCAGCCCGAUCUUAAUCUACGGAAUAAAAAUGUACAGACGGAACUGCAGGUGACCUCAAUUAUCUCAUCUCUGUGUUAAAAUGUAUUUAUAAACUGAUAGAGAGAUGUAGAACUGUAGGGUGCCUUUUAUCUUCACCCAACCUAGCCAGUGUCCCAUCCCCGUGUUCGCACUCAGCGGAAUGUUACCCCACCCCCUCCCAACCCCAUCCCGCCAUACACACGCACCUAGCAAUUCGACACUUAAAAUCCCCCUAAUUUUUUUUAUAAUAAGUUAAUUCUACAAGAUUCUACAAAAGAUAUAUCUUACUUUACGCAGUUUAAAAAAUUAUCCCCCCCCCUAUGCUUAAAACAAUUUUUGUUAUAUUAAUCAUCUUUCGAUAUUGCCUUCCACACUAGUGUACUCACGGUAUCUGAAUAUGAUGUUUGACUUUUAGAUAACGAAUUCUAUUUUAAACAGGACGUUCUGGAGUUCUGGUUACAAAAAGGGGUGGAUGGAUUCCGCGCAGACGCACUCAAGUUUAUGUUUGAAUCACCAAACGUCACCGAAGACGAGACUGGCUUAACGGUAACUCAAGAUUCGCCGUCACCAAAACUUUAAAAUCACUCAACUAGGUUCUGACGCCUCAAAGUGUCAAAUCCUUAAAGGAAAUGUGCGUGAAUUUGAGAUCAAAACUCUGAUUUGAAGUUGAAUUGACUUGAAGUUUGGUGACGGUGGAGCCGGAUGACGUGACAUCGACCAUAAUGUCAAUGCUAAACUGAAAGUCAAACUCAGCAAGGACGCCGACGCUACUUACGUAUAAAGAUAAGCCGUUAUGCAGUGAAGAUCAUUCAGUCUAUAUACAGAAACCAAAAAUAAUAUAGAACGUACACACAAUAUAUGUUUUGUUACUGUCCUUGCUGAUUGUAUCUUUAUUUCACGGUUAGGACACCUUUACAUGGAUUGAGGCGGAUAACCACAAUUUGACUACAAACUUGCCAGAGGUCUAUAAUAUUCUCAAAGGAUGGCGCGCUGUCCUGAACAAAUACGGCAAAGACAAGUUUCUGAUAGCGGAGUCCUACGGCAUCAGUCAUGAAAUCCGUGACAAGUAUUACGAGUCCGGUUCCAUCCCAUUUAACUUUGCCCUGAUUCAGUACCUCAACAAAAGUUGUACCGCGCUGUGUAUGAGAGACGUGAUACGGGACUCUCUGGGGGGACUCAAUUCUAACUGGCCUAACUUUGUGCUUGGAAACCAUGACAACAGCCGGGUGUCCAACCGAUUUGGGCCGGAGACAAUUGACGCCUUCAACAUGCUGCUGUUGACCCUCCCCGGGACCCCCACGUCCUACUACGGGGAGGAGAUCGGGAUGAGAGACACGUUCUAUACGUACAAUGAGACCAAGGACACAGCGGGCCUCAAUUAUAACGAGACCCAGUACAUGGAGCAUUCCCGUGACCCAGAGCGCUCCCCCAUGCAGUGGGAUGACGGCCUUAAUGCGGGGUUCUCCAACGGCACGCCAUGGCUGCACGUCAAUCACAACUACCAACUCAUCAACGUCAAGGCACAAAAGUUGGCGGACAGAUCGCAUCUAAAGGUAUACCAACAACUGGCUAAGCUGCGUCAGGAUCCUGCCUUUACCCAUAAUUCUGUGCAGUUUGUAAAUAUCAGUGACGUUGGCGGAAACGACAAGACAAUCCUAGCCUACAUCCGGGCCCAAAAAAAUUCAGACAAGUACCUGGUGGUCAUGAACUUCGGCCAUCAGUACGCUAAUAACGUGGACUUGAGUAAAGGGGCCGGAAGUGAAAACGGCAUGGUGGUCGUCAAUGCCAUGUCUGCUUAUCAGAAAGAAAUGAUAGACUUAAAAAGUGUCACGUUAUCUCGGGGUCAAGGACUAGUCAUAAAGGUCAUGUGAGGGGGAUAAUUAAUGCAAAUCGAAUAAAUAUUUCAUUUGUAGACUAACGCUGUUAUAAACAGAACCUAAAUAUACAUGUGCGGAUCCAGAAUUUUUUCCAGUUGGGUCUGAUGGAAGAUUUUUGAUUACCGGGGAGGGGGGAUUCCAUAGAUCUAUUUUUAGUAAAUGUAAUUAUGAAAAUUUAAGAAAUCUGAAUUAUCCAGGGGUCUGGACUCCUAAAAUUCCUCUCCCCACCUCUAGAUCCGCGCAUGUCAUAUUAUGCUGUUUCAGAAUAAGACUAUUUUGUUGUUUAUAUCACGGUUGCAGAGAUCUCCGCCCAUCUCAACCACAAACCCCUCAGCCCAAGGCAAGUUGUUGCAUUGAAACAUUAGAUUAAUCACAUGGGGAUUUUUUAACAUGUACAUAAUUGUAUUGUUUACCGUUCGUGAAUUGAAUGCUUUGAUAUAUAUUAAUCCAUAUCAGUGUGCCAUUUUUUUCACCCAUUUAUAAACAUUUGUCAUAUCUAGCAUUUUUUAAAUAUAUACUAUAUGCUUGAUUAGUUACAUAUGUUUUUAACUUUAAUACUUUCCCUAUAUCGGAAAAAUAAAGUGGUUUUUUUUUUAAAUAUACAUGUAAUUAUAUUGAGUUGCAUUAUAUUGUAAACACAUUUUUUUUUAGAAGGAUGUGAAUCGCUGCGUGAACUGGUGGGUUUCUUGUAUGAAAACUUAUUAUUUACGUACAUAUAUUUUCAUUAUUGGACAUACAUAUUUCAAGAUUGUGUCAAUGAUUUUUUAAGAAUAUGUAUUGAAUAUGUAGAUGUUUAUAAACAGAGUAAAAUU